rnacentral:rRNA from 1 species
UACGUAGGGUGCAAGCGUUGUCCGGAAUUAUUGGGCGUAAAGAGCUUGUAGGCGGUUUGUCGCGUCUGCUGUGAAAUUUCGGGGCUCAACCCCGAACUUGCAGUGGGUACGGGCAGACUAGAGUGUGGUAGGGGAGACUGGAAUUCCUGGUGUAGCGGUGAAAUGCGUAGAUAUCAAGAGGAACACCUGAGGUGAAGACGGGUUGCUGGGCCAACACUGACGCUGAGGCGCGAAAGCCAGGGGAGCAAACGGG